AUUGAACGCUGGCGGCAGGCCUAACACAUGCAAGUCGAGCGAGCGUCGGACGGGUGGGUAAUGUAUGGGGACUCCCCGAUAGAGGGGGAUAACUCCUGGAGACGCUAUCUCAUACAGCAUACUCUCUGAGAACCCCUAUGGGAUUAGCUCGUAGGUGAGGUACUGGCUCACCUCGGCGACGAGCCCUAGCUGGUCUGAGAGGAUGAUCAGCCACACUGGGACUGAGACACGGCCCAGACUCCUACGGAGGCAGCAGUGGGGAAUAUUGCACAAUGGGCGCAAGCCUGAUGCAGCCAUGCCGCGUGUAUGAAGAAGGCCCUAGGGUUGUAAAGUACUUUCAGUCGGGAGGCGUUACCGACAGAAGAAGCACCGGCUAACUCCGUGCCAGCAGCCGCGGUAAUAC
rnacentral:rRNA from 1 species